AGAAGAUGCAGAAACAACUACAGAUAUACUCAGCCACCUCAUCUUUGACAAAGGAGCCACCUAUCAUCAUUGGAGGAAAGAUAGCCUAUUUAAUAAAUGGUGUUGGAAAAACUGGAUUUCACCCUGCCAGAGAUUAAAACUAGAUCCAUAUCUAUCACCAUGCACUAAACUAAGAUUGAAGUGGAUUAAAGAUCUAAAUAUUAAGACAGAAAUUAAAUUUGCUGGAAGAUAAGUUAGGUAGAAUUCUUGAAGGCACUGGCAUAGGAAAAGACUUUAUGAACAAAACCUCAGUAGCACAGGAACUAGCACAAAGAAUCAUCAACUGGGAUCUCAUCUUAUUCAAAAGCUUCUGCACUGCAAGAGAAACUACCAACAGAGCUAACAGGCAACCUACAAUGUGGAAGUGGCCUAUAUGUCCAUCAAUAGAUGAAUGGAUAAAGAAAAUGUAUUUUUCAGUUGUCAGCUCACCCUCCUCGCUGGGCUGUGGGUAUCCCCGAGGCGGGAGGAGCCCAUGGGGGCACAGGCCUGCAUGUUUCAGAAGCCGGCUCUUCCACUCCUCCCCUGGGGCAAGGCUCACCUCUGCCAGACCUUCCUUCCCAAGGGAUUUCACAUUGGAAGACAUGGAUGCUAUUGCUAAUGAGCUCAGCAUCUAUGACAAACUUUUGGAGACUGUUGACUUGGUGCGGCAGACUGGCCAGCAGUGUGGCAUGUCAGAGAAGGCCAUCGAGAAGUUCAUCAGGCAGCUGCUGGAAAAGAAUGAGCCCCAGCGGGGGCCCCCCCAGUACCCCAUGCUUAUCACUGUGUACAAGGUGCUCCUGACCCUGACCUUAGUCUUGCUCACUACCUACUUUGUGAUCCAGCCUUUCAGCCCGCUAGCACCAGAGCCUGCGCUCUCCGGGGCUCAUAGCUGGCGCACGCUCAUCCACCACAACCGCCUCAUGUCCUUACCUAUCACCAAGAAAUACCUGCCGGAGAGCAAGGGCCCUGUCCUGCCCACCGAGGAGGACAGACACUUCGCAGACCUCGACCCCUGGUGGCCCUACAACUGUGAGCACAACGAGUCGGAGCAAGUCCCUGCCAACUGCACUGUGUGCGCCCACCAUCUGCCCCUCGAGGUGAUGCUCCCGGAGGACACCCUGAGGAUGUUCGACAGCCUGCGGCAGCUGGUGAUCAAAACAGGACAGCCUCUGCUGACCGAGGAGAUCCAGCGCUUCCUGUGCCAGUACCCAGAGGCUGCGGAAGGCUUCCCGGAAGGCUUGCUUGCCAAGUGGCAGCGUUGCUUUCCUGAGCAGUGGUUCCCGUUUCCUUACCCGUGGAGGAGACCUCUGAACAGAUCACAAAUUUUACAUGAACUUUUUCCUGUUUUUACCCACCUCUCAUUUCCAAAAGAUGCCUCCUUAAAAAAGUGCUUCCUUCUUCACCCGGAACCUGUUAUGGGGAGUAAGGCUACACCAGCGCCGCCCACUGGAAGGCCUACAUCAUAGCCAGAGGGGUCCAGCCUUUGGUCAUCUGCGACGGAACCACGCUCUCAGAACUGUAGGCACCAGGACUACCUACCUAUGGAGUGAGUCUGAGACCUGAAAGGCAGGUUGAUAGAGAAGAAAUAAAAACAAACAAUGAAACCACAAAAAAAAAAAAAAAAAGAAAAUGUAUUUUCAUACAAUGGACUACUACUCUGUCAUAAAGAAGGAUAAAUUUGGG
rnacentral:lncRNA from 1 species